UUCCCUUCUCUCUCACAACUCACCCCUCACAAAACUUCAUCAGACCUUCUCUCUCUAUCGGCGACUCAAGAAUAUCAUGCCAGAUCUCUCACCAGAUGCCGUUUCAUGACCAGAUCUAGCUGAUUUACCGGGUUGCUUUGGACUUUACCUCUGAUGGCGUUGUGUUCAAGUACGGCUCUAAGCCUAUUCAGUUAUUAGGUAUUUUGGAAAUCUGGAAAUUAGGUGAUCGAGAGUAAAUCUAUAUUUGAUCUUCCUAGCCUCCAUUGUUGAAAUCUAUUGGAUCUUGAGCUUUAAUGCCUUUUCAUGGUUUUAAAAGAUUAAGUAUUGUUGCACGAGAAUCAGCAAUAGAAUGCACCACCUGAACCAUGGGCAUUAAGAGAACGAUGAAUCUUGGCAUAUGUUGGGAAGCUUUAUUUACAGAAGCUGGACCUGCACUUGAAGUCUUAAGUGAUAUUCUUAAUGCCAUUGAUACCAGACUGGACGUUAGUUUCUGUACAAGAAACCCGUAAAACGCUACUAACUGAUGUCGAAUAACAGAAAACAAGGAUAGCUGGUUGAACAGGGUGAUGAUCGGCUGAAAGGAGGUAGGGUAAAUCUGGUUAGCUAGGCUGCACAAAUCAGAACUUUCUAUAGGGAUUGAUGAUGGGUUGUCUUAUAUGAGUUGUUUGAAGAAGAACUGAUCAGCCUGCAGCCCUACAUCAACUUCAGAAUGUGAUUCAACAUCAACAACAGAUGGUAUUUUGGCUCGCAAUAAAAAGAUGAACUUUAUGUCUUCUAGGUAUAUACACACAAAACCCUAAUCUUUUUUCAUACUUUGCAUACUGAUCUGUAUGUUUUUAUAGCAAGUUUUGCAUAAAGAAUCAUACACAGUUAGAUUUUAAGUUCAGGGACUAAGUUCUUAAUUCAAAUAGUAUGUGGCGAGACGAUGGUGACUGAUAGCGCCACGGUAAACCCAUCUCCACUGCUCGCAGCUGAUGUUAUGUGAGUUGGACACUGGCGCUGCUUCGUGUUUGAAAUCAAUGUAGGAUGUGUUGUUAAAUCUGUUUUUGGGUCUGGUGUUUGAGUCGAACAGACUCGAUCUAACUUUUCCUGAGCUUAAGAUUGAGCUGCAAAGUUCUUGAUAAAUCAUGAAUGGUGAGGUGACGAUGAUGGCAAGUGUGCAUAAAAUGAAAGGAUGGUGAUUGUGAGAACCGAUGGCGAAGGCAGGUAUAAACCGGAUUGGGACAAAAAAAAACUGGUUUUAACCUGUUUUUUUACAACCGAUUCGUGUUAUAAACUGGUUUCAAAGAUCGAAAAUACGAGCCGGUAUCCAAACCGUCGGGUUGAAACUGGUUUUUAUUUCCAAUCGGAUUGGGUUUUUUUUCCAAACCGUCGCAUAGCAAAAAUGGAGUUUGAGAAGAUUAACAAAGGCGGGGUUAUGGUAACUCAAGCAAUAGAUAAGCACCAAGGAUGAGGGGCAGCAGCCGUUCACCUUCAAAAUUGGCCAAGGCCAAGUUAUUAAAGAACUGAGGAGUGUCUUGAACGAAGAAAGAUUGAUGAUUUUGAUGUGAAAUAAAAAAAGAUAAGGAGCUUUUUACAAACAUUUUAUGUUUGCAGUUGUAAGAAGUUGAUGAAUUUUCAGUCUGUCUUUGUUUAAAAAGGCGCGCCUGAUGCACAAGGCGAUCAUGUACUUUUGGGCGGAUUCCUACAGCUGAUGCUUUGGCUAUUAGGAAUGUGAACGUUGGAAACGGAAGUUGCCCUCUAUGCAGGACAAUUCAGGAGACUGCGGCCCAUCUGUUCGCUACCUAUCUUGUUUUGUGGGCAGUGUGGUGGAUCAUUUGGGCUUGGGUUAAAAUCCCGCAUCCAGUUGCGGCUGAGACUCUAGACCAAGUCAUCCAGUUUGGGGCGAAUUUAGUCAUGCCGACUUUGAGGAAAAAGGUAAAAAAUGCGAUCUUUUUCAUGACUAUCUGGAAGAUUUGGAUACAUCGCAACGAGAAGAUUUUCAAAUGUAAAGCAGUGUCGGUAGAUAAUAUCACAAAGGAGAUCAAAGAAGAGAGCUUCUGGUGGAUGGCGAAACGAUCGAGAAUGGUUGGCAUCUCGAUGGAGAACCGGGGAGAUUUUGACGGAGGGUUGCAAUUUUAAUGUAUCUGGUAGUUUAGUAUAUGUUUUCUUCUAUGUUUGUUUUUCUUCUAUUUGGUUGCGGCUUUCACAGCUGCUUGCUGUGUUAGCUUGUUCAACUUGUAUUUGUAGUUUUGGUUUAUAAAAUUUUGAAAAUGAGGUUUGCAGCAUUUGAAAUUGGUAUCCU
rnacentral:lncRNA from 1 species